UACGUAGGGGACAAGCGUUAUCCGGAUUUACUGGGUGUAAAGGGAGCGUAGGCGGCCAGCCAAGUCAGAAGUGAAAUCCCGCGGCUCAACUGCGGGCGUGCUUUUGAAACUGGAGGGCUUGAGUACUGGAGGGGCAAGCGGAAUUCCUGGUGUAGCGGUGAAAUGCAUAGAUAUCAGGAAGAACACCGGAGGCGAAGGCGGCUUGCUGGACAGAGACUGACGCUGAGGCUCGAAGGCGUGGGGAGCAAAC
rnacentral:rRNA from 1 species